AUUGAACGCUGGCGGCAGGCCUAACACAUGCAAGUCGAGCGGCAGCGGAAAGUAGCUUGCUACUUUGCCGGCGAGCGGCGGACGGGUGAGUAAUGUCUGGGAAACUGCCUGAUGGAGGGGGAUAACUACUGGAAACGGUAGCUAAUACCGCAUAAUGUCGCAAGACCAAAGAGGGGGACCUUCGGGCCUCUUGCCAUCAGAUGUGCCCAGAUGGGAUUAGCUAGUUGGUGGGGUAACGGCUCACCUCGGCGACGACCCCUAGCUGGUCUGAGAGGAGGACAAGCCACACGGGAACGCAGACACGGACCAGACUCCUACGGGAGGCAGCAGUGGGGAAAAUUGCACAAUGGGCGCAAGCCUGAUGCAGCCAUGCCGCGUGUAUGAAGAAGGCCUUCGGGUUGUAAAGUACUUUCAGCGGGGAGGAAGGUGUUGAGGUUAAUAACCUCAGCAAUUGACGUUACCCGCAGAAGAAGCACCGGCUAACUCCGUGCCAGCCGCCGCGGUAA
rnacentral:rRNA from 1 species